CAUCGCGUGGUUUUGCUGUGGAUGUGUUCGGCGGUGGCUCCUCACGUCAGCUCUCCACCCACCACCACUUCCAGCCUGACCGGCUGUGGACAGCGUGAGACCCCGGAAACACUCCCCACGCUCCCCCGCCGACCUGGUGCUACUGCUGCUAACAAGCUAAGUGUUAGCCACCACUGCUCAAAUGCUACAACUCUAACACAUUGGCUGGUACGUAGCACACGUUCCCACUGGGGGGCUUGGACUGAUUCAUGUGGGAGCUGCUGCAGAGCUUCGCAUUUCUUGUCUUAAUAUGUCCAGGCAGAUGAAAGGGGGAACAGAGCAAACUGAUGGCACAGACCAGUGCUGCAUUUUCAUUCCUUUGAAAUGGGAGUAUAGUGUGAUGCCAGGAUUCACCAGGGGGUCUUACAAAGCCAAGGCAAUAAUGAAGAGGAGAGUUAUGGGGAGGGAGGAGGUGUGUAGUUGCAGA